rnacentral:rRNA from 1 species
AGCAGCCGCGGUAAUUCCAGCUCCAAUAGCGUAUAUUAAAGUUGUUGCAGUUAAAAAGCUCGUAGUUGAAUUUCGGGGUCAGUAGGUUGGUCGUGCCACGGGUAUGUACUGGUCUCACUGAUUACUCCUUCCUGAUGAACCGUAAUGCCAUUAAUUUGGUGUUGCGGGGAAACUGGACUGUUACUUUGAAAAAAUUAGAGUGUUUAAAGCAGGCUAACGCUUGAAUACAUUAGCAUGGAAUAAUGAAAUAGGACGUUGAUCUUAUUUUGUUGGUUUCUAGGAUUGACGUAAUGAUUAAUAGGGAUAGUUGGGGGCAUUAGUAUUCAAUUGUCAGAGGUGAAAUUCUUGGAUUUAUUGAAGACUAACUACUGCGAAAGCAUUUGCCAAGGAUGUUUUCAUUAAUCAAGAACGAAAGUUAGGGGAUCGAAGACGAUCAGAUACCGUCGUAGUCUUAACCAUAAACUAUGCCGACUAGGGAUCGGAUGAUGUUAAUUUUUUAAUGACUCAUUCGGCGCCUUAC